CGUUGAUAGGCCGGGUGUGUAAGCGCAGCGAUGCGUUGAGCUAACCGGUACUAAUGAACCGUGAGGCUUAACCUUACAACGCCGAAGC
rnacentral:rRNA from 2 species